GCCGAAGUGGUGGAAUUGGUAGACACGUGGUGUUCAGGGCGCCAUGGGCUGCGCGCUCGUGAGGGUUCGAGUCCCUCCUUCGGCACCA
rnacentral:tRNA from 1 species